rnacentral:rRNA from 1 species
GACGAACGCUGGCGGCGUGCUUAACACGUGCAAGUCGAGCGGUAAGGCCUUUCGGGGUCCACGAGCGGCGAACGGGUGAGUAACACGUGGGUGAUCUGCCCUGCACUUCGGGAUAAGCCUGGGAAACUGGGUCUAAUACCGGAUAUGACCUCCUAUCGCAUGGUGGGUGGUGGAAAGAUUUAUCGGUGCAGGAUGGGCCCGCGGCCUAUCAGCUUGUUGGUGGGGUAAUGGCCUACCAAGGCGACGACGGGUAGCCGACCUGAGAGGGUGACCGGCCACACUGGGACUGAGACACGGCCCAGACUCCUACGGGAGGCAGCAGUGGGGAAUAUUGCACAAUGGGCGAAAGCCUGAUGCAGCGACGCCGCGUGAGGGAUGACGGCCUUCGGGUUGUAAACCUCUUUCAGCAGGGACGAAGCGCAAGUGACGGUACCUGCAGAAGAAGCACCGGCUAACUACGUG